rnacentral:tRNA from 1 species
GCGGGGGUUCCCGAGCCAGGAUAAAGGGGCAGAAUUGUUAAUCCUGUGGCAUAGGCCUUCGUGGGUUCAAAUCCCACCCCCCGCA